AGAAUCAACGCUGGCGGCGUGCCUAACACAUGCAAGUCGCACGAGAAAGGGACUUCGGUCAUGAGUAAAGUGGCGCACGGGUGAGUAACACGUGACUAACCUACCCUUGAGUGGGGGAUAACCUAGAGAAAUCUGGGCUAAUACCGCAUAAUACCUUCGGGUCAAAGGAGCAAUUCGCUUAAGGAGGGGGUCGCGGCCGAUUAGUUAGUUGGCGGGGUAAUGGCCCACCAAGACUGUGAUCGGUA
rnacentral:rRNA from 1 species